UAAGGAAUAUUGGUCAAUGGAGGCAACUCUGAACCAGCCAUGCCGCGUGAAGGAUUAAGGCCCUCUGGGUUGUAAACUUCUUUUAUAUGGGAAGAAAUGUACUUUUUCUAAAGUGCUUGACGGUACCAUAGGAAUAAGCACCGGCUAACUCCGUGCCAGCAGCCGCGGUAAUACGGAGGGUGCAAGCGUUAUCCGGAUUUACUGGGUUUAAAGGGUGCGUAGGCGGAUGAAUAAGUCAGUGGUGAAAUCUCCGAGCUUAACUCGGAAAAUGCCGUCGAUACUAUUUGUCUUGAAUAUUGUGGAGGUGAGCGGAAUAUGUCAUGUAGCGGUGAAAUGCUUAGAUAUGACAUAAAACACCAAUUGCGAAGGCAGCUUGCUACACAAUCAUUGACGCUGAGGCACGAAAGCGUGGGGAUCAAACA
rnacentral:rRNA from 1 species